rnacentral:lncRNA from 1 species
GCCAGGCGGCCCGGCACCGCUACGAGGUCGUGACGGAGCUGGGCCCGGAGGAGGUGCGCUGGUUCUACAAGGAAGACAAGAAGACCUGGAAGCCCUUCAUCGGCUACGACUCGCUCCGCAUCGAGCUCGCCUUCCGGACCCUGCUGCAGGUCACGGGUGCCCGGCCUCAAGACGAGGACCGGGACGGCGACCAUGUGUGUUCCCCCGCGGGGCGGGCCUCCAGUUCCGGAGAAGACGACGAUGAGGACCGCGCCUGCGGCUUCUGCCCGCGCUCGGCGGGGCACGAGCCCGAGAUGGUGGAGCUGGUGAACAUCGAGCCUGUGUGCGUGCGGGGCGGCCUCUACGAGGUGGAUGUGACCCAAGGAGAGUGCUACCCGGUGUACUGGAACCAGGCUGAUAAAAUACCAGUAAUGCGUGGACAAUGGUUUAUUGAUGGCACUUGGCAGCCUCUAGAAGAAGAAGAAAGUAAUUUAAUUGAGCAAGAACAUCUCAAGUGUUUUAGGGGCCAGCAGAUGCAGGAAAUUUUUGAUAUUGAAGUGUCAAAAUCCAUAGAUGGAAAAGAUGGCAGUGGGAUCAACUUUUCUGUUGUCUACCACCUCCCUCCCUUCUCCCUCCCUUCUCUGUUCAAAUGGAGAGGAUUUAAGGAGAGUACAGAUGCGGCAGGUCUUAAACGAAAGCGUUCCCAAGCUAUGCAUAGUUUCAAGCUGAGUCGAAACCAUGUGGACUGGCACAGUGUGAAUGAAGUAUAUCUUUAUAGUGAUGCAACAACAUCUAAAAUUGCAAGAACAGUUACCCAAAAACUGGGAUUUUCUAAAGCAUCAAGUAGUGGGACCAGACUUCAUAGAGGUUAUGUAGAAGAAGCCACAUUAGAAGACAAGCCAUCACAGACUACCCAUAUUGUAUUUGUUGUGCAUGGCAUUGGGCAGAAAAUGGACCAAGGAAGAAUUAUCAAAAACACAGCCAUGUAAGUUCUUUGACAAAUACAGUCUAUGUCUAGUCUAGAAUUCACACUUUCGUCCAGGGUAUAAGAAAUAUUAACAGUAUACUAAUUCCA